UUAAAACUUAUAUUAAGCAUACUGAUACUUUUAUGAUUAUUUUAAUGGAAUGAUUUCUCCAAGAUGAGAGGAAAUAAACUAGGAGUACAUUGUACAAGGGACAGUUUUAUGAAGUACUAAACCCAAAGCAUCUGACUGGAGAUGUGUUGUGGUGUUUGUCCAAAGGAGUUUAUAAAGAGCUCAAUACUUUCUGAUUGCAGAAAACACAAUUUACCACAUUUUGAGAGCUAGCUAUGUGCAAGCCUCUGUGUAUUGGAGUUAGUAGAUUAGCACCAAGGGAAAAAAUUUAUGGAAAUUGAGGAUUAGACUCCUUUUUGAGGGAGCUUACAGUGUUAUUUUGAAGACAAAAUAAAUACAUAAAGAGUUAAAUAUCAGAUGUGAUAAAGCAGUAAAAGUUUAAUUGUCAAAUUAUGGCAGAUGGAACGCAGCCCCACCCAUCAGCAGACAAGCGGAUUAAAGUUUUACUGAGCUCUGCCCACCAGAGCAACACCCAGCUCUACCCACCACCAGUCCCUCCAAUCAGGAAACUUGCACAAGCCUCUUAGAUAGCCUCAUCCACCAGAGAACAGACAACAGAAGCAAGAAGAACUACAAUUCUGCAGCCUGUGGAAGGAGAACCACAUUCACAGAAAGAUAGACAAAAUGAAAAGGCAGAGGACUUUUUCCCAGAUGAAGGAACAAGAUAAAACCCCAGAAAACCAACUAAAUGAAGUGGAGAUAGGCAACCUUCCAGAAAAAGAAUUCAGAAUAAUGAUAGUGAAGGUGAUCCAGGACCUCAGAAAAAGAAUGGAAGCAAAGAUUGAGAAGAUGCAAGAAAUGUUUAACAAACACCUAGAAGAAUUAAAGAACAAAGAAACAGAGAUGAACAAUACAAUAACUGAAGUGAAAAAUACACUAGAAGGAAUCAGUAGCAGAAUAACUGAGGCAGAAGAACGGAUAAGUGACCUGGAAGACAGAAUGGUGGGUUGACUGCCACGGAACAGAAUAAAGAAAAAAGAAUGAAAAGAAAGGAAGACAGCCUAAGAGACCUCUGGGACAACAUUAAACGCAACAACAUUCACAUUAUAGGGGCCCCAGAACAAGAAGAGAGAGAAAAAGGACCCAAGAAAAUAUUUGAAGAGAUUAUAGUCGAAAACUUCCCUAACACGGGAAAGGAAAUAGCCACCCAACUUCAGGAGGCACAGAGAGUCCCAGGCAGGAUAAACCCAAGGAGAAACACGCCGAGACACAUAGUAAUCAAAUUGGCAAAAAUUAAAGACAAAGAAAAAUUACUGAAAGCAACAAGGGAAAAACGACAUAUAACAUACAAAGGAACUCCCAUAAGGUUAACAGCUGAUUUCUCAGCAGAAACUCUACAAGCCAGAAGGGAGUGGCAUGACAUAUUUAAAGUGAUGAAAGGAAAGAACCUACAACCAAGAUUACCUUGCAAGGAUCUCAUUCAGAUUCAACGGAGAAAUCAAAAGCUUUACAGACAAGCAAAAGCUAAGAAUUCACCACCACAAAACCAGCUCUACAACAAAUGCUAAAGGAACUUCUCUAAGUGGGAAACACAGAGAAGAAAAGGACCUACAAAAACAAACCCAUAACAAUUAAGAAAACGGUAAUAGGAACAUACAUAUCGAUAAUUACCUUAAACAUGAAUGGAUUAAAUGCUCCAACCAAAAGACACAGGCUUGCUGAAUGGAUACAAAAACAAGACCCAUAUAUAUGCUGUUUACAAGAGACCCACUUCAGACCUAGGGACACAUACAGACUGAAAGUGAAGGGAUGGAAAAAGAUAUUCCAUGCAAAUGGAAAUCAAAAGAAAGCUGGAGUAGCAAUACUCAUAUCAGGUAAAAUAGACUUUAAAAUAAAGAACGUUAUAAGAGACAAGGAAGGACACUAUGUAAUGAUCAAGGGAUCAAUCCAAGAAGAAGAUAUAACAAUUAUAAGUACGUAUGCGCCCAACAUAGGAGCACCUCAGUACAUUAGGCAAUUGCUAACCGCUAUAAAAGAGGAAAUCGACAGUAACACAAUAAUAGUGGGGGACUUCCUAACACCUCACUUACACCAAUGGACAGAUCAUCCAGACAGAAAAUUAAUAAGGAAACACAAGCUUUAAAUGACACAAUAGACCAGAUAGAUUUAAUUAAUAUUUUUAGGACAUUCCAUCCAAUAACAGUAGAUUACACUUUCUUCUUAAGUGCCCAUGGAACAUUCUCCAGGAUAGAUCACAUACUGGGUCACAAAUCAAGCCUCAGUAAAUUUAAGAAAAUUGAAAUCCUAUCAAGCAUCUUUUCUGACCACAAUGCUAUGAGAUUAGAAAUCAAUUACAGGGAAAAAAACGUUAAGAACACAAACACAUGGAGGCUAAACAAUAUGUUACUAAAUAACCAAGAGAUCACUGAAGAAAUCAAAGAGGAAAUCAAAAAAUACCUAAAGACUAAUGACAACAAAAACACGACGAUCCAAAACCUAUGGGAUGCAGCAAAAGCAGUUCUAAGAGGGAAGUUUAUAGCGAUACAAGCCUACCUCAAGAAACAAGAAAAAUCUCAAAUAAACAAUCUAACCUUACACCUAAAGGAACUAGAGAAACAAGAACAAACAAAACCCAAAGUUAGUAGAAGGAAAGAAAUCAUAAAGAUCAGAGCAGAAAUAAAUGAAAUAGAAACAAAGAAAACAAUAGCAAAGAUCAAUAAAACUAAAAGCUAGUUCCUUGAGAAGAUAAAAUUGAUAAACCGUGAGCCAAACUCAUCAAGAAAAAGAGGGAGAGGACUCAAAUCAAUAAAAUUAGAAAUGAAAAAGGAGAAGUUACAGUAGACACCGCAGAAAUACAAAGCAUCCUAAGAGACUGCUACAAGCAACUCUAUGCCAAUAAAAUGGACAACCUGGAAGAAAUGGACAAAUUCUUAGAAAGGUACAAUCUCCCAAGACUGAACCAGGAAGAAAUAGAAAAUAUGAACAGACCAGUCACAAGUAAUGAAAUUGAAACUGUGAUUAAAAAUCUUCCAACAAACAAAAGUCCAGGACCACAUGGCUUCACAGGUGAAUUCUAUCAAACACUUAGAGAAGAGCUAACACCCAUCCUUCUCAAACUCUUCCAAACAAUUUCAGAGGGAGGAGCACUCCCAAACUCAUUCUAUGAGGCCACCAUCACCCUGAUACCAAAACCAGACAAAGAUACUACAAAAAAAGAAAAUUACAGACCAAUACCACUGAUGAAUAUAGAUGCAAAAAUCCUCAACAAAAUACUAGCAAACAGACUACAACAACACAUUAAAAGGAUCAUACACCAUGAUCAAGUGGGAUUUAUCCCAGGGAUGCAAGGAUUCUUCAAUAUAUGCAAAUCAAUCAGUGUGAUACACCAUAUUAACAAAUUGAAGAAUAAAAACCAUAUGAUCAUCUCAGUAGAUGCAGAAAAAGCUUUUGACAAUAUUCAACACCCAUUUAUGAUAAAAACUCUCCAAAACGUGGGCAUAGAGGGAACCUUCCUCAACAUAAUAAAGGCCAUAUAUUACAAACCCACAGCAAACAUCAUUCUCAAUGGUGAAAAACUGAAAGUAUUUCCUCUAAGAUCAGGAACAAGACAAGGAUGUCCACUCUCACCUCUAUUAUUCACCAUGGUUUUGGAAGUCCUAGCCAUGGCAAUCAGAGAAGAAAAAGAAAUAAAAGGAAUACAAAUUGGAACAGAAGAAGUAAAACUGUCACUGUUUGCAGAUGACAUGAUACUAUACAUAGAUAAUCCUAAAGAUGCCACCAGAAAACUACUGGAGCUAAUCAAUGAAUCUAGUAGAGUAGCAGGAUACAAAAUUAAUGCACAGAAAUCUCUUGCAUUCCUAUACACUAAUGAUAUAAAAUCUGAAAGAGAAAUUAAGGAAACACUCCCAUUUACCAUUGCAACAAAAAGAAUAAAAUACCUAGGAAUAAACCUACCUAAGGAGACAAAAAACCUGUGUGCAGAAAAGUGUAAGACACUGAUGAAAGAAAUUCAAGAUGAUACCAACAGAUGGAGAGAUAUACCAUGUUCUUGGAUUGGAAGAAUUAGUAUUGUGAAAAUGACUGUUCUACCCAAAGCAAUCUAUAGAUUCAGUGCAACCCCUGUCAAAUUACCGAUGGCAUUUUUUACAGAACUAGAACAAAAAAUCUUAAAAUUUGUAUGGAGACACAAAAGACUCUGAACAGCCAGAGCAGUCUUGAGGGAAAAAAAAUGAAACUGGAGGAAUCAGACUCCCUGACUUCAGACUAUACUACAAAGCUACAGUAAUCAAGACAAGGUGGUACUGGCGCAAAAACAGAAAUAUAGAUCAAUGGAACAGGUUAGAAAGCCCAGAGAUAAACCCACACACCUAUGGUCAACUAAUCUAUGACAAAGGAGGCAAGGAUAUACAGUGGAGAAAAGAUAGUCUCUUCAAUAAGUGGUGCUGGGAAAACUGGACAGUUACAUGUAAAAGAAUGAAAUUAGAACACUCCCUAACACCAUACACAGAAAUAAACUUAAAAUGGAUUAGAGACCUAAAUGUAAGACUGGACACUAUAAAACUCUUAGAGGAAAACAUAGGAAGAACACUCUUUGACAUAAAUCACAGCAAGAUCAUUUUUGAUCCACCUCCUAGAAUAAUGGAAAUAAAACCAAAAAUAAACAAAUGGGACCUAAUGAAACUUAAAAAGUUCUGCAAAGCAAAGGAGACUACAAACAAGACGAAAAGACAACCCUCAGAAUGGGAGAAAAUAUUUGCAAACAAAUUAACGGACAAAGUAUAAACAGCUCAUGCAGCUCAAUAUUAAAAAAACAAACAACCCAAUCCAAAAAUGGGCAGAAGACCUAAAUAGAGAUUUCUCCAAAGAAGACAUACAGAUGGCCAAGAAACACAUGAAAAGCUGUUCAACAUCACUAAUUAUUAGAGAAAUGCAAAUCAAAACUACAAUGAGGUAUCACCUCACAUCAGAAAAUCUACAAACAACAAAUGCUGGAGAGGGUGUGGAGAAAAGGGAACCCUCUUGCACUGUUGGCGGGAAUGUAAAUUUAUACAGCCACUAUGGAGAACAGUAUGGAGGUUCCUUAAAAAACUAAAAGUAGAAUUACCAUAUGACCCAGUAAUCCCACUACUGGGCAUAUAUCCAGAGAAAACCAUAAUUCAAAAAGACACAUGCACCCCAAAGUUUAUUGCAGCACUAUUUACAAUAGCCCGGUCAUGGAAGCAACCUAAAUGCCCAUCAACAGACGAAUGGAUAAAGAAGUUGUGGUACAUAUAUACAAUGGAAUAUUACUCAGCCAUAAAAGGGAAUGAAAUUUGGUCAUUUGUAGAGACGUGGUUCGCUCUAGAGAUUGUCAUACAGAGUGAAGUAAGUCAGAAAGAGAAAAACAAAUAUCGUAUAUUAAUGCAUAUAUGUGGAACCUAGAAAAAUGGUACAGACGAACCGGUUUGCACGGCAGAGAUAGAGACACAGAUGUAGAGAACAAACGUAUGGACAACAAGGGUGGAAAGUGGCAGGGUGGGUGUGUUGAAUUGGGAGAUUGGAAUUGACAUGUAUACACUAAUAUGUAUAAAAUGGAUAACUAAUAAGAACCUGCUGUAUAAAAAAAUUAAAUAAAAUUCAAAAAAAAAUUAUGGCAGAUGGAAAGUAAGUGUUGAGAUUUAAGGAGAAAGAAGAUUGUUGUGAGCUUUAAUGAAAUGGGACAGCUUUGGGGAAGGGUGGACCUAGACUACUUCUUAAAGAUGGAGUAAAAAUUGGGUUAUUGAAGGAAGGAAGCCUCCCAGAGAGGAAGAAUAGUAUUUAAAAAGAGGCAUUGAGACAAUCACCAAACUCAUGUUAAGUAAUGUUAUCAUAAUAUUUCUGUCGGCGAUUACAUUUAAAAUAUCAAUGUGUGUGUGUAUAUAGAGAAAGAAAUCUGUUUGAAAAGUAAAAUUUAUAUAUAAUAUAUGUAAUCAGAGAUACAUAUGUUAUAUAUACAUAUGUGAGAUGUAUGACUUAUUUUUCCUUAUCCACAGAAUUCAGCUACCAUGUAUAUAUAAAUAAACUUAUUUUAUUAACCAGAAAAAAAAAAGGCAUAGAGAUAAAGAUUACAGUCAGUCAGUGAUCGGGAAGAAGUUGCGUCAGCCAUUCUUGUUCUAGAUGGGAGCCAAGUGUGUUGCUUGUCAAGAUUUUGCUGGUGGCCUCCUGCCCUGGAAUAGAACUGCUCGUACCCCUUGGAGCCUGUUUCGUGGCAAUGUCGUGGUGGCAUUACCUUGGUUUUGCAUUGGGGAGAGACGGCCAGUGACACCUACCUCCUGAGCCUGGGUGACUGCAAAGAAAGAUGGUUCUGUCAACUAAAUGGAGGGCAUGGAAAGCUUGUUUCACAUGAUUAACCCUUUAGUGGAGGUGGCACAGAUUCAUCCAGAUAAUUGGCCUUUUGAAUGUUUUUACACCACAGAAAUCCCUAGAAGAAUUUCAAGAUGU